rnacentral:rRNA from 1 species
GUGCCAGCAGCCGCGGUAAUACAGAGGGGGCAAGCGUUAUUCGGAAUUAUUGGGCGUAAAGGGCGCGUAGGCGGCUUUGCAAGUGACGGGUGAAAUCCCUCGGCUUAACCGAGGAACUGCCUGUCAGACUGCAUGGCUUGAGACCAGGAGAGGUGAGUGGAAUUCCCAGUGUAGCGGUGAAAUGCGUAGAUAUUGGGAGGAACACCAGUGGCGAAGGCGGCUCACUGGACUGGUACUGACGCUGAGGCGCGAAAGCGUGGGGAGCAAACAGGAUUAGAAACCCGCGUAGUCC